CCCUACAGGGGAGAAAACUGAGGCCCGGAAGGUAGGACUAACAGGUGGGAAGGCGGGACUCUCAGGUAGAAAGGUGGGUCUUACAGGUGGGAAAGUGGGUCUUACAGGUGGGAAGGCGGGUUCUACAGGUGGGAAGGCGGGACUAACAGGUGGGAAGGCAGGACUCACAGGUAGAAAGGUGGGUCUUACAGGUGGGAAAGUGGGUCUUACAGGUGGGAAGGCGGGUUCUACAGGUGGGAAGGCGGGACUAACAGGUGGGAAGGCGGGACUCGCAGGUAGAAAGGUGGGUCUUACAGGUAGAAAGGUGGGUCUUACAGGUGGGAAGGUGGGUCUUACAGGUGGGAAGGCGGGUUCUACAGGUGGGAAGGCGGGACUAACAGGUGGGAAGGCGGGACUCGCAGGUAGAAAGGUGGGUCUUACAGGUAGAAAGGUGGGUCUUACAGGUAGAAAGGUGGGUCUUACAGGUAGAAAGGUGGGUCUUACAGGUGGGAAGGCAGGUCUUACAGGUGGGAAGGCAGGACUAACAGGUGGGAAGGCGGGUUCUACAGGUGGGAAGGCGGAACUAACAGGUGGGAAGGCGGGUCUUACAGGUGGGAAGGCGGGACUAACAGGUGGGAAGGCGGGUCUUACAGAUAGGAAGGCCCUUUGCCUCCAGUUGUAGAAAGCCAUUUCCUUUGGGGCGCCUGUGAUAAUGGUCACGGGCCCAGCUCACCCCCAACCUGAGCAGCCGCCCUUAUCCUCUCACCGAAACCCUACAAGCCCAUUUUCAUUUUUAAGAUUCUCCAGCUCCUCCGUGGAGACGAAUGUUGAAUUCCCCAUAAAUCCCGCUCUCAUUGAAGAAAUCAUAAAACCGCUUCCCGGGCAGCCAGUAGACUGUACGGGGGAUGGCCGGAAAUUAGCCUUAUUGUCGGGGAACAGCUGGUUCCCGUUAGCCGAAUCCUUGGGCUAAACUUGUUUGGGUCUGGCGUAUUGUAAAUUAUAUUUCGGUAAUGAAAGUGAUGUGACCUGCGGCUGACCCCGAGCGGGCUCUGUCGGUUGGAACCGGCGUCCGUGGAAAAGUAUGAAAGGAGAUGAAGUCAUGAGGCUCCGGCAGCUCCGCGUUGUGCCUUUCAAGGGGAAGGGGCCAUAAAUCUGCGCGGCCUUUGUUUGACAAGGAUUUGUCACGCGGGGAUGUACGAGAUGUAAAGAAGUGUCAAAGGCGCGGGCAGCCCCCGGCCAAAGUAAACCGAGUACAAAGGGAGCGCCCCUAUCUCUUCAUCGGGCCUUCCAUUAGCCCAAGGACGGGCGGGCUGUGUGCGCUCUGAGGGGACCCAGCCCUGCGAGCCCGGGGCUGCGUGGGAACUCGGAGAACCCCGCAGGAACACCCACCUACCUGGGGGCGAGGGGGAAGUCCUUCCUUCCCCUUCUUUGUCCCUCUGUCUGUCUCCCUCCUCCCCUCCUUCCUUCUUUCUUUCCCUCUCUCUGUUGUGCUCACUCUCUCUCUGCUCCUCUCCCCCUCCUUCCUUCCUCAUUCCUUCCUUCUUCCCUCCCUCCCUCCUGUCUGUCCUUCCUUCCCUCUUUUCUUUCUUCCUUCCUUCCUUCCUUCCCUCUUUUCUUCCUUCCUUCCUUCCUUCCUUCCUUCCUUCCUUCCUUCCUUCCUUCCUUCCUUCCUUCCUUCCUUCCUUCCCUCUUUUCUUCCUUCCUUCCUUGCUUCCCUCUUUCCUUCCCUCCCUCUGCUGUGUACUCUCUCUCUCUCUCUGCUCCUCUCCCUCCCUCCUUCCUUCUCUUUCUUUCUUUCUGGAAUAUGUCUUCCUCUCCUUCUUUCUUUCUGCCUUUUUUCUCUCCGCCUUUCUUUUCUUUUUCUCAUGUCAACAGGUUCAGAAUUGUGAAACCUCUGCCUGUACUCAUAAUCAGAAAUAUCUGGAUUUUCAAAGGCUUUGGAAGCCCCACCCGUGCUCUCUCUAGAGGCCAUGUGGGCAGAGAAGUGGCCCGGGUUUGGGCAACGGCCCCCUGUUCCCUCCCAGGGACGAGCUUCCACGAACGCCCUGCCACGUUUGGGCCCUUUUCCGGAAAGGCCGGGACGGGCCGUCAGGGGUCGCGGUUUUCAGCAUGGCGGCUGGUUUCCGGGGAGAUUGUUUUUCUCAGACACAUCCUCAAGAGCCCGUCUGUCAGGUGUGGUUGGAACAGGGGACGCUGAUGUCAGUAGGCCCUUUAACACUCGGGAUGGGAAGAUGAUCUCUAGAUCAAAAAACUGCCACCUCCCUGAGACUCACUGACGCGCCUUUGUUAAGGACCCCUGGUGAGAGGGAACCUGACCCCCCAAGACCAGAGUCGGCUCCUCACACUCCCUACCUAGCAUGCCUCCGUCAGCCCUAAAGCUAAACGGAACAGGGCGCAGCCCUUGGAGGGCUAAAGCAGCCAUAUCUGCAAGGGCUCAGAAUUAGGGCCUGGCCCGGUGGCUGGGAGUGGGCCCUGGAAGCCCUGGAUUUAGCCACUGGCUCCUCCACUUAGUAGCAGUAAGACCUUCUUAGGUCAGUGAUUCCAUAACUCGAGAUGUGAGUUAGUGAGUAAACACUGAUUAAGCACCUACUGUGUACCAGGCAG